GACGAACGCUGGCGGCGUGCUUAACACAUGCAAGUCGAACGGAAAGGCCUGCUUUCCCUUGUGGAUUGCGGGUGCUCGAGUGGCGAACGGGUGAGUAACACGUGAGUGAUCUGCCCCCAACUUGGGUAUAAGCCUGGGAAACUGGGUCUAAUUCCCGAUAGGACUGCAGGGUGGUGCCUGUGGUGGAAAACGAUUUUCUAGUGGUUGGGGAUGAGCUCGCGGCCUAUCAGCUUGUUGGUGGGGUAAUGGCCUACCAAGGCGGCGACGGGUAGCCGGCCUGGGAGGGUGGACGGCCACAUUGGGACUGAGAUACGGCCCAGACUCCUACGGGAGGCAGCAGUGGGGAAUAUUGCACAAUGGGCGGAAGCCUGAUGCAGCGACGCCGCGUGGGGGAUGACGGCCUUCGGGUUGUAAACUCCUUUCGACCGCGAGGAAGCCACCUGGUUGGAAGGGUGGUGACGGUAGUGGUAGAAGAAACACCGGCUAACUACGU
rnacentral:rRNA from 1 species